CUGCAGCUGCAGAUUGAGACUCGCAGAUUAUAGACUUAUCGAACGUACAUAUCCUGACAACGUUUUUGGAAGAUUUCAAGCAAGUCUUCUUAGAUCUUUAAAGACACAACAUUUUUAUUAAUUCCAACUUGCUGCUCGAGCCUGCUGAAAGAGAUUUAAGAAAUCUUCACUGAGAUCAAGAUUAGAUUCCACAUCCAUUUUCAAUGAUUAGACUUCCAUGCAGUAAACUCUACAUGUUUUGAAGAUAGAAAAACAUCUACAAAUUGAAGAACCAUUCUUCAAGAAGAGUAAAUAAGAAAACAGCUGUUGAUGUUGAGCAACUCCCUUGAAUCAACUUCAUCUCUUCCACUUUUCUUCAA